UGUCAUGUAGGAGGGAAGAAAAGAGGAAAAGGAAAGUGGAACUAAAGUUUGUUCACCGUUGCACCGCGGUGCCCUUAGGUGGGGGACCCCCUCCCUCUCCUCUCAAACAGAGAUUCGGAGAAGAAAUGGUGGUUCACUCCUUCACUAACUCUCGUCCAAACUUCUGUUUUCCAGUGUUCCCAUGGAGGCACAGACAACUAUCACUGGAUUACUUUGAUACUGAAGAAAACAUUCUCAGACAAGUUCUGCAGAAACACACAGCCGGCUUAAGGACCCUGGAAAACCAAUUGGGGGCCCUGAAACCUCACCAAGGCCUCCUGAAAACCACUCAAGAACCCUCACAUUCCUCUCGGACUGGCUCCAGACCUCUGAAUCGCUCCCUACAUCUCAUUACCUCCUCUGGCACUCAAGAAAAGUACAACAACCCCUGAAAAUCAGACAUUUUAUGGACUAAAUGAUUAAUCAAUAACAGAAAUAAAUGCUCCAAAAUGACACCUUUCUGAUAUGUUACUGAGGUGAUAAUGAGCUCAUCUGUUUAUAGUCACUAUACUCACGUUUGAAAAUGAUCAUGCUGAUGGUGCUCACUGCAGCUUUGACUCACAUGUCUGAUUUCAGACAGACAUGUUGGGACAAGAUAAGAGGAGUUUUAAAACUGAACAUAAGACGAGACGAGAUGAAGUGAAAAAAAUUAGAGAACGAGUGGAAAGACAAAAGGAAGAAGAGGUGGAGAGCGGAUUUAGCGGAUAGAUGAAAGAUCCAGUAGAGACACUAUAAAAGGCCACAGAGGGAGAGACGGGUCUUGUUGGGACUCGAUCAGACAGGUGAGGCUCUCAUUGCCCCGGGUCUGCUGGGCGGGACGUCCCAGCAUGCAACAAGAGAAGGAAGACACAACACACUGUCCAGACCUGUGCUUUCUACAAACCUCAAAUCACAGUUUC